rnacentral:rRNA from 1 species
UCGGGAAUUUUGGGCAAUGGGCGCAAGCCUGAUCCAGCCAUGCCGCGUGAACGAUGAAGGCCUUAGGGUUGUAAAGUUCUUUUGUCAGGGAAGAUAAUGACGGUACCUGAAGAAUAAGCACCGGCUAACUUCGUGCCAGCAGCCGCGGUAAUACGAAGGGUGCUAGCGUUGUUCGGAAUCACUGGGCGUAAAGCGCGCGUAGGCGGCUUAACAAGUCAGAGGUGAAAGCCUGGAGCUCAACUCCAGAACUGCCUUUGAAACUGUUAAGCUUGAGUGUCGGAGGGGAUAGCGGAAUUUCUAAUGUAGAGGUGAAAUUCGUAGAUAUUAGAAGGAACACCGGUGGCGAAGGCGGCUAUCUGGACGACAACUGACGCUGAGGCGCGAAAGCGUGGGGAUCAAACAGGAUUAGAUACCCCCGUAGUCCCUGAGCGGGCUGGCAAGGCGCAU